UACGGAGGAUCCAAGCGUUAUCCGGAUUUAUUGGGUUUAAAGGGUGCGUAGGCGGCCUGUUAAGUCAGAGGUGAAAGACGGUAGCUCAACUAUCGCAGUGCCUUUGAUACUGACGGGCUUGAAUGAACUAGAGGUAGGCGGAAUGAGACGAGUAGCGGUGAAAUGCAUAGAUAUGUCUCAGAACACCGAUUGCGAAGGCAGCUUACUAUGGUUUUAUUGACGCUGAGGCACGAAAGCGUGGGGAUCAAACAGG
rnacentral:rRNA from 1 species